AACGAACGCUGGCGGCAUGCCUAACACAUGCAAGUCGAACGAGACCUUCGGGUCUAGUGGCGCACGGGUGCGUAACGCGUGGGAAUCUGCCCUUUGCUUCGGAAUAACAGUUAGAAAUGACUGCUAAUACCGGAUGAUGUCGAAAGACCAAAGAUUUAUCGGCAAAGGAUGAGCCCGCGUAGGAUUAGGUAGUUGGUGGGGUAAAGGCCUACCAAGCCGACGAUCCUUAGCUGGUCUGAGAGGAUGAUCAGCCACACUGGGACUGAGACACGGCCCAGACUCCUACGGGAGGCAGCAGUGGGGAAUAUUGGACAAUGGGCGAAAGCCUGAUCCAGCAAUGCCGCGUGAGUGAUGAAGGCCUUAGGGUUGUAAAGCUCUUUUACCAGGGAUGAUAAUGACAGUACCUGGAGAAUAAGCUCCGGCUAACUCCGUGCCAGCCGCCGCCGUAAUAC
rnacentral:rRNA from 1 species